rnacentral:rRNA from 1 species
UACAGAGACUGCAAGCGUUAUUCGGAUUCACGGGGCGUAAAGGGUGCGCAGGCGGCCGGGUGUGUCAGAUGUGAAAUCCCCGGGCUCAACCUGGGAACUGCGUUUGAAACUACAAGGCUAGAGUAUGGCAGAGGGGGGUAGAAUUCCACGUGUAGCAGUGAAAUGCGUAGAGAUGUGGAGGAAUACCAAUGGCGAAGGCAGCCCCCUGGGUCAAUACUGACGCUCAUGCACGAAAGCGUGGGGAGCAAACAGG